UAAAAAAUUUUGGCGGUAUUUUAAGCUUAUUAGAGGAAUUUGCUCUGUGAUGGACACAACGCCUUAAUCUUACUUAAUUUAGUAAUUUAAAUCAGUUUGUAUACCACUAUAUUAAUUAUAUUGAAUAGUUAUAUUUAAGAUUUUUUUUUAAAAAAUAUAUUAAGUCAAGGUGCAUCUAAUAAUUAUGAAUGAAGUGAAUUACAUUAAUUUUAAUGUAAUUUUUUACAUGAAAAAAUUAAUUAGGAUUUAAUAGUAAAAUACUAAUAUUAUGAGUAUUUGAAUCAAGCUCUAAAAUAUGCACAUAUCGCCCGUCGCUCUCAGAAGUGAGAUAAGUCGUAACAAAGUAAAAAUACUGGAAAGUGUUUUUUAAAAUGAAAUCAUUCGAUGUUUCAUUUACAAUGAAAAUUUUGUUGUUUAACCAUUUUAA
rnacentral:rRNA from 1 species